UCGGCCCAAACCUCUUCCGGCAAACAGUCAGCAAGGGUACCCGCGGACAUCUCCCGGUGACUGCAAGCUGUUCCCACUACCGUUUCUUGCAAGGCGUCUUCUCAAGAGGUUACACACCCAAGUCGUCUUGUCUGCCACCGCCGCCCAUCUCUUACUAUAACAAGGACGACGCGGCCAUCAUACGUCUGGCGGCAGUGUACCAGCUCCCAGCCGCGCACCGCGGCCGCUCAUUUUGCUGGGUCAGCAGUUUUUCAACCUCCAUUGCGAGUCCUCCGAUGUCAGCCCAUCCCUCACCUCUCACCGCCGCUGUGGCCGCGGCCGAGGUUUCCUGACGCGCCUACAACGACUGCACGUCACCCAGGGCAUCACAGGCCGUCGCCCUCUCCACUACAUCUGCUGAUUAAUCUUGGCCGCAGAAUUCGUUCACCCCCGGGUUCGUCUGCAUACUUACAACCCACUCAAGGUUCAAGGACACCCUCACCAGCAUCCCCUCGCACCAGCCGCAGUAUUACAGGCUCAAAAUCAUGAUGUUGCGUUUUCUGACCAUCUUGUUGUCCCUCGGCUCCCUGCUUGCAACAACACCCAUCCACCUGAAGCCUGGUGCCCUCACGGCACACAUAGGAGAGGUCUUCCUCAUAGAAGAUGUGCUCCUCGUAAAAUAUCCAUAUACUUCCUUGACCAACACCACGGACACACUCAGGAUAGUCUCAGAAAAACUACUCGGCAUGGCAGACGCCAUACGGGCUACCAAGACUAGGGAAUCAAAGGCACCUUCUAGUACCAACUCUCUGACUCUUUUUCAACUACUGGAGGAUAGGAUUCUGUUCUUACGGGGAAAGGUUGAUG